UGGGGAAUUUUGUGCAAUGGGGGAAACCCUGACACAGCGACACCGCGUGAACGAAGAAGCCCUUUGGGGUGUAAAGUUCUGUCGGCUGGAACGAAAAAAAUGACGGUACCAGCAAAGGAAGCAUCGGCUAACUACGUGCCAGCAGCCGCGGUAAGACGUAGGAUGCAAGCGUUGUCCGGAUUUAUUGGGCGUAAAGAGUUCGUAGGCGGUUUGUUAAGUCUGAUGUUAAAGAUCGGGGCUCAACCUCGGGAGUGCAUUGGAUACUGGCAGACUGGAGUGUGGUAGAGGUUAGUGGAAUUCCCAGUGUAGCGGUGAAAUGCGUAGAUAUUGGGAAGAACACCAGUGGCGUAGGCGACUAACUGGGCCAUAACUGACGCUGAGGAACGAAAGCCAGGGGAGCGAAUGGG
rnacentral:rRNA from 1 species